GAUGGACGCUGGCGGCGUGCUUAACACAUGCAAGUCGAACGAAGCAUUUAGAACAGAUUACUUCGGUUUGAAGUUCUUUAUGACUGAGUGGCGGACGGGUGAGUAACGCGUGGGUAACCUGCCUUGUACUGGGGGAUAGCAGCUGGAAACGGCUGGUAAUACCGCAUAAGCGCACAAUGUUGCAUGACAUGGUGUGAAAAACUCCGGUGGUAUAAGAUGGACCCGCGUCUGAUUAGCUAGUUGGUGAGAUAACAGCCCACCAAGGCGACGAUCAGUAGCCGACCUGAGAGGGUGACCGGCCACAUUGGGACUGAGACACGGCCCAGACUCCUACGGGAGGCAGCAGUGGGGAAUAUUGCACAAUGGAGGAAACUCUGAUGCAGCGACGCCGCGUGAGUGAAGAAGUAAUUCGUUAUGUAAAGCUCUAUCAGCAGGGAAGAUAGUGACGGUACCUGACUAAGAAGCUCCGGCUAAAUACGUG
rnacentral:rRNA from 1 species